UCUGCAUCACUGCCAUUUUUUUAAGCUGAUUGUUUCCAAGAUCUAUAUCAGGGAGAACAAAGGAAUCAAGCUGAUUAUUUUCUGAUUAUUUUUUGAGCUGAUUAUUUCCAAGAUCUAUAUCAGAGAGAGAAAAAAGAGGGAGAAACCUACGUGACCCCUAAUGACCGUGACUUAACUGCCCAUUAGGAGUCCGUUUCCAUUUCCCCUCUCCCGUGACAAGGUCCUGCGGCACCUUACUCUUUCUUUUUUUUCUCCCCACGAUACCCCACUGUUUUUUCCCCUUGACCGAGACCUACGACCUCUACUACAUCUGCUGCCACCGAAGAACUAGAGGAGAGAAACGAAGAGGAAAAGGAAGAGAAGGGAAGGAAAAGAAGGAAUAGAAGGGGAGGAGAAGUGGCUGCACAAACCCUAGGCUUUUGGAGGAUCAAGGUGGUGGUAUUGCUCCGGAUCGUGCCUAGUGCCGUUUGCAUCAUCGCUACAACUUUGACUUGUGGUUUAUUCUACCUGCACAUUAAUAAAUUCAGAAGCUUAACCAAAGAAAUAUUCCUUUACUAAAUAUUAUGUUAUUUGUUAAAUUACUUUAAUGCCUGUUCUAUAAUAAUAUUUGUGGUUGUUUACUCCAUCAUGAGGUAAAAGGUAUGUUUAAGUAUGUGGUUGUAUGUGGCAUAAGUGGUAAGCUUACUUGCAGUUGCACCAUAUCAUUGCAUCAUAUUGCAAUUCGUGGAUGUUGCCACUUGCUAGCCGCGACCGUAUCGGUACAGUAUCGUACGUUGCCUGAGGAGGGGUACGAUGCAGCUUCAUACCUUGUUGUGUACGGAGGCAGUGGACAUGGCAUAUGCAUUGCAUUUGCACUCGUUGUAGUUUAUAUAUUUGAGUAUUAUGCAUCAACAUGGAAGUGGAUAUGAGGUCUUGAUCAUCUGAAGUUAAUGUGCGGUUGCGGUUUAUUCUUUUUUUUCUAUGAGGAUGGCUUUCACAAUGAUCUCGUUUAUCUUAUUUUAUCAUGUAUCUAUAUUUAAAUUAAUGAACAAUGAACCCGUAGAUUAAAUAACUUGUUAAAGCAGUUUGCUUGUUGAGAUUUAUUCUCACACCCCUUUGUCUUUCCAGGUGCUUAAGUGGAUGCUUUGCUUGAAGGGAUGGGAUGGUUCACGUCUUCACAUAUUUGCUACUUUCCUUUUAUAAUAAUAAUGAUACAUUUGUCUUGCUGUAAUGAACAUAGAGUAGACCUUGUGGUGACCCCUUGUGCUUUCUUAAUAAUGAGUGUGGUUGAUCUUUGUUAAUUGUUAUCUUGUUAAAUUGCUCUUUAAAUGC